UGGGGAAUAUUGCACAAUGGGGGAAACCCUGAUGCAGCGACGCCGCGUGAAGGAAGAAGUACCUCGGUAUGUAAACUUCUAUCAGCAGGGAAGAAAAUGACGGUACCUGACUAAGAAGCCCCGGCUAACUACGUGCCAGCAGCCGCGGUAAUACGUAGGGGGCAAGCGUUAUCCGGAUUUACUGGGUGUAAAGGGAGCGUAGACGGAAGAGCAAGUCUGAUGUGAAAGGCUGGGGCUUAACCCCAGGACUGCAUUGGAAACUGUUUUUCUAGAGUGCGGGAGAGGUAAGCGGAAUUCCUAGUGUAGCGGUGAAAUGCGUAGAUAUUAGGAGGAACACCAGUGGCGAAGGCGGCUUACUGGACGGUAACUGACGUUGAGGCUCGAAAGCGUGGGGAGCAAACAGG
rnacentral:rRNA from 1 species